rnacentral:rRNA from 1 species
ACGCUCGACACCUACGGGAGGGCAGCAGUGGGGAAUAUUGCACAAUGGGGGAAACCCUGAUGCAGCGACGCCGCGUGGAGGAAGAAGGUCUUCGGAUUGUAAACUCCUGUUGUUGGGGAAAAAGAGGAUGGUACCCAACAAGGAAGUGACGGCUAACUACGUGCCCGCAGCCGCGGUAAUCUGAGCGGGCUGGCAAGGC